ACGAGUGGCGAACGGGUGAGUAAUAUAUCGGAACGUGCCCAGUAGUGGGGGAUAGCCCGGCGAAAGCCGGAUUAAUACCGCAUGAGACCUGAGGGUGAAAGCGGGGGAUCGCAAGACCUCGCGCUAUUGGAGCGGCCGAUAUCAGAUUAGCUAGUUGGUGGGGUAAAGGCCCACCAAGGCAACGAUCUGUAGUUGGUCUGAGAGGACGACCAGCCACACUGGGACUGAGACACGGCCCAGACUCC
rnacentral:rRNA from 1 species